UUAACGCUGAGGUGUGAUGACGAGGCACUACGGUGCUGAAGUGAUAAAUGCCCUGCUUCCAGGAAAAGCCUCUAAGCAUCAGGUAACACGAAAUCGUACCCCAAACCGACACAGGUGGUCAGGUAGAGAAUACCAAGGCGCUUGAGAGAACUCGGGUGAAGGAACUAGGCAAAAUGGUGCCGUAACUUCGGGAGAAGGCACGCUGAUGUGUAGGUGAAGUCCCUGCGGACGGAGCUGAAAUCAGUCGAAGAUACCAGCUGGCUGCAACUGUUUAUUAAAAACACAGCACUGUGCAAACACGAAAGUGGACGUAUACGGUGUGACGCCUGCCCGGUGCCGGAAGGUUAAUUGAUGGGGUUAGCGGCAACGCGAAGCUCUUGAUCGAAGCCCCGGUAAACGGCGGCCGUAACUAUAACGGUCCUAAGGUAGCGAAAUUCCUUGUCGGGUAAGUUCCGACCUGCACGAAUGGCGUAAUGAUGGCCAGGCUGUCUCCACCCGAGACUCAGUGAAAUUGAACUCGCUGUGAAGAUGCAGUGUACCCGCGGCAAGACGGAAAGACCCCGUGAACCUUUACUAUAGCUUGACACUGAACACUGGUCCUUGAUGUGUAGGAUAGGUGGGAGGCUUUGAAGCGUGGACGCCAGUCUGCGUGGAGCCAACCUUGAAAUACCACCCUUUAAUGGCUGGUGUUCUAACGUAGACCCGUAAUCCGGGUUGCGGACAGUGUCUGGUGGGUAGUUUGACUGGGGCGGUCUCCUCCCAAAGAGUAACGGAGGAGCACGAAGGUUGGCUAAUCCUGGUCGGACAUCAGGAGGUUAGUGCAAUGGCAUAAGCCAGCUUGACUGCGAGCGUGACGGCGCGAGCAGGUGCGAAAGCAGGUCAUAGUGAUCCGGUGGUUCUGAAUGGAAGGGCCAUCGCUCAACGGAUAAAAGGUACUCCGGGGAUAACAGGCUGAUACCGCCCAAGAGUUCAUAUCGACGGCGGUGUUUGGCACCUCGAUGUCGGCUCAUCACAUCCUGGGGCUGAAGUAGGUCCCAAGGGUAUGGCUGUUCGCCAUUUAAAGUGGUACGCGAGCUGGGUUUAGAACGUCGUGAGACAGUUCGGUCCCUAUCUGCCGUGGGCGCUGGAGAAUUGAGGGGGGCUGCUCCUAGUACGAGAGGACCGGAGUGGACGCAUCACUGGUGUUCGGGUUGUCAUGCCAAUGGCACUGCCCGGUAGCUAAAUGCGGAAGAGAUAAGUGCUGAAAGCAUCUAAGCACGAAACUUGCCCCGAGAUGAGUUCUCCCUGAGACCUUGAGUCUCCUGAAGGAACGUUGAAGACGACGACGUUGAUAGGUCGGGUGUGUAAGCGCAGCGAUGCGUUGAGCUAACCGAUACUAAUGAACCGUGAGGCUUAACCUU
rnacentral:rRNA from 1 species